GGCGUAAUGUUAAAAAUUUUAGGUUGGGCCUGCCCAAUGAUUAAUUUAAUGGCCGCGGUAUUUUGACUGUGCAAAGGUAGCAUAAUAAUUAGUUUUUUAAUUGGAAGCUUGUAUGAAAGGUUUGAUGAAGAAAUAACUGUCUCUAUUUAAAUUUAUUAGAAAUUUAUUUUUAAGUUAAAAAGCUUAGAUGUGUAUAGAAGACGAGAAGACCCUAUAGAGUUUAAUAAUUUAUUAAAUAAAUAUAAUUAAGAAUUUUAUAUUUUGUUUAUUAAAUUAUUUAGUUGGGGUGAUUGAAAAAUUUAAUAAACUUUUUUUUAUUGAAACAUUUAUUUAUGAAUAAAUGAUCCUUUUUAAAGAUUAAAAGAUAAAAUUACCUUAGGGAUAACAGCGUAAUUUUUUUUUAGAGUUCAAAUCGAAAAAAAAGAUUGCGACCUCGAUGUUGGAUUAAAAAAAUUAUUGGUGUAGAAGCUGGUAUUUUAGGUCUGUUCGACCUUUAAAAUUUUACAUGAUCUGAGUUUAAACCGGUGUGAG
rnacentral:rRNA from 1 species